rnacentral:lncRNA from 1 species
GUCUGUGCGUCCGUUCGUUCGUUCGUCCGUUCGUCCCGCGCAUCAGUUUAAAAUUUUUGGUCGAGGUAGUUUUUGAUGAAGUUGAAGUCCAAUCAACUUGAAACUUAGUACACGUGUUCCUUAUGAUAUGAUCUUUCUAAUUUGAAGGCCAAAUGAGAGAUUUCCCCCCAUUUUCACAGUCCUUUGAACAUAGAAAAUUAUAGGGCGGAUGGGGCAUCCGUGUACUAGGGACACAUUCUUGUUGCAUUAAUAAGUUUGUUGAAUUUCUUAUUUGAAUUGUUUCACAUUUGUCAAAUUGUUGUCCUUUAUACGGCAUGGUUUUGACUCGUGUUAAUCGUAUUUUCCAUUGCUUGGAUACAACUUGAUAUUUUUUUUCUGGUAAACUUGGAAAAAAUAUUAGUUGAAACUGGGGGCUUGGAAUUAACUUUGAGUAAUUUCGACUACUCUUAUAUACUUUUAUUAAGUGCUUUGUUUAUUAAGUACUUUGUUUAUUUUGUAAUUUUUAUAAUUAUUUUAUUUAGAAUGAAAUUCAAAACAGUGUGGCUGUGGCCAUUGAUUGACACAUUAAAUUCAUCCAUUGACUGGGACAAU